GUGAUUUGCCCACUUCGGCCUCCCAAAGUGCUGGGAUACAGGUGUGAGCCACUGUGCCCGGUCCAAUGUUUUAAUGUAUGUAUAAUAUACAUUGUGGAAUGAUUAUACCAAACUGACAUAUCCAUCACCUUACAUACUUAUUUUUUUUGUAGUGAGAACAUUUAAAAUCUGUUCUUUUAGCAAUUUUAAAAUAUACAAUACAUUAUUGUUGACUACGGUUACCAUGUUGUGCAACAGAUCUUAAAACAUUAUCUUCCUGUCAAACUGAAAGUGUACACUUUGGUCAACAUCUCCUCAUUCCUCCUCUCCUCACAGCCUCUGAUAACCACAACUAUACUUCCAUAAGAUUUUUAGAUCCCAUAUGUAAGCAAGAUCAUGUGGUAUUUGUCUUUCUGUGCCUGGCUUAUUUCACUUAGCAUAAUGUUCUCCAGGUUCAAUUCUUUUGUUACAAAUGACCAAAUUUCCCUCUUUUUUGUC
rnacentral:lncRNA from 1 species